rnacentral:lncRNA from 12 species
UCUGACCCCGCCAGCCACGCCUCCGCGCGCCGCCGGCCGGCGCGGGCGGGGGUCGCUGCGCUCCAGUGCGUCUGCGCGGCCGCCGAGGCUCGGCUGCUAAACUCCAGGAGUGCGCUCCAGUGCGUCUGCGCAGCCGCCGCGGCUCCGGGUUGCUAGGCUCCAGGCCUGCGCUCCAGUGCGUCUGCGCGGCCGCCGCGGCUCUGGGCUACUGAGCUCCAGGGCUGCGCUCCAGUGCGUCUGCGCAGCCGCAGCGGCUCCGGGUUGCUAGGGCUGCAGAGCUGCAGGGCUGCAGGGCUCCGGGGCUGCGCUCCAGUGCGGCUCCGGGCUGCAUGGCUCCAGGGAGACCCCGCCCGCCCGCGCUCUCCGCCUUCCUCCAGGGCCUUCUGAAACUGUAUCCAUCAAGGCUCACAUCUGUGGCUUCACAGCUGAUGGGAAACCUGGAUUCAGUCCCUGGCUCCACCUCCCACUAUCUCUCCUAUUAUCUCUGACCUUCGGUGACCGAUUUACCUUUUCUUGAGCCUCAGAUUCCUCCUCUACGAAAUGGAAAUAAUAAUAAAUCCUACCCCCUAAAGUUCUUAGGAGAAUUA